UCCUUCGAGCGCAUCCGAAGGCAGCCAAAGAUGCGGCAUAGAGAAUGGAUUCCAUCUUGCUCGGCAAGACUGCAGUUUCAGGUCUGGCUGGUACGGCGGCUGGCCAUACCGGUGACGCGCCUUCGUCUACUCUAUCAGCCCAACUGGUUGAAAACAUCUCAAAUUCGAACAAGUCCUCCCGGUCAGACGAUAGCACUGAGCUCAAAGAUUAUUUGCGGUAAUUCAGCGGGUCAAAGACGAUCCCGAUUUGCUUAAAUCACAUCGCGAACGAGUGGAGCACAACCACAUGCUCAUUUACGUAUAUUGCCGUUUCGCGGUAGAACCAAUCAGGCUGGACGACCCGCUCAUAGACCGACAGCAUGUUCGCUCCGAGCUUCUUAAGGCUAUUAAUUUCUUGAAAUUUACCAUAAAAGAACACCAACCGUGCUCAAGCAUACCAAUAGUGACUUUGAGCUCCUACACCGGGGACCUGAGCCUCUCUGGAUUUGGAUACUCCCGCAGCUACUCCGCAUUCUGGGGAACGCCGAGUGCAUCGAGCUUGAGAGUUCAAUUGAAGGAUUUCUUCAGUACCUCUUGCUGAUUGUUUGUCGCACGAGCGCACUCUGGAACUUUUCGCUUCGCUAAGCCUCUACCUGCGCGCUUGUCUUACGGGCUUAUUAAAUCACCUCCAAGAUCCAUCACUAAUCCAUCGAAGGCAAGAUCUCAGCUCCAAAUUGCCCUGCCUCCCAUAUUUGCAUUGAAUCAGAUCCGGGGAGAUGUUCAGGAGCGGGACGACAAAAGGUCCCUGUACGUCAUUGAUUCUGUCGAUCAGUGCCUCAGGCAAGCCAUGAUAUAGCAAGAGUCCUUGCAUAUCCGUUCAUCUCUCAAGAUAUCGUGUUUUCUUGCAUUCCAUCCUUGCUACAAAAUGGGCCCUGGAUGAUUGAUUCGUGGCUGGAUUUGAGACAAGUGCAGAAGAGAUGGAAUUCGAGUGAUCAAAUUUCGCCAUUGAGAUUAGUUGAGACGGCACUGGAAGUUGCGAAAUGUCCAAUCGCCGCCGCUGAUCUAGCAUUUUCUCUCCAAAACAAAGCAAAUGUGGCGCUUGUCCUUCUCUGCGGCGACAUCGUCAUGUGCCCUGAUGUUUUGGUCCGGCAAGAUCCGACGGGCGAACAGUCACGGCUGAUCUGCUGCAAAGCGUUGCUCGCUAUCUCUGAAGCCUCAAUGCGAACAUAUGCAAUUGGGAGGUUGGCGGCAUCUAAACUGGCCCAAGAACUCAUUUUGCUAUCUUCAUGGUAUCCGAUAAUUGGAGAAGAUACCGAUAUUUGGAGAUGCACGAGGUUGCUUCAGCAGGUAUUCUCUACGCCAGAUCAAAAAGUUUCGACGAAUCUAUCCACCCAUCGAAAUUUAAAAGUAAAGAAGUGAGAGAAAGCGUCGAAGGCUCAUCUCACGCACAAAAGUUCAAGUGCUAGCUCAAAAGAAAUAAAAGAAGAAAAGUAUCGAUUGAAAAGAUAGAUUCACUGCAUGGCCUGAUGCAGGGCAUAUCCGAAACCCUUGAAGUCGAGCUAUCAAUUAUGAAGAUUCCAUUCUUAAAAUGUCAUUUUUACAUCGAUUCGAACUUGUAUCAGAGGAGAACCAGUGCCUUGCUAUAGACUGCUAUGCAGAAUUGGCUGUAUCGAAGACGGAUUCACUUCACCGCCCGGCUCUUCUGGGACCAGAUGCUACAUUUGUGACGAGUCAAGCCUGAGAAACGAAGAGUUUCCCUCGAGUAGCGCGAAAAGCGAAUCCAGGCUUGUUUUCCAAGCUCAUUGGGCUGCCAGCAUUUCUGGAGUCCAAGCUUUUACGAAUCACGGCCAUGAUUGCUCUUCGCAGAAUGAUUUCGCACUGUGAAACCCGCGAUUCCUAGACCUGAAAACCCAGGAUCUGAAGUCCACGCAGAAGUGUCAAGACCUGGGCAAUGGUGUCUUCAAUCACUCAACAGCUCUGUGCGAGAACUUCGAAUCGCAGCUGGAAGGACCUUGGCUGCAUUCGUGAUUGAUAGACCUUUUGGUGUCUUGGAUGAGGAAUGCUUCACAGAAACCGAAUAUAUGCGAUAACUGUGCUAAAAGAAACUUCGGAGAAAGACCACUCGAAUCUCGCCCAAACCUGCAUCAUGGCCUGGGGGCAACUAGACUGUGGUCACCGAGGACGAGUUCAAUCUGGUUUUGAUCAAGCUUCUCGAGUAUCUGGGUAGCAACAACAUGAUGGUUUCAGGCCUUGCAUUCGACGAGCUCUCUAACAUUGCUGAGUCUUACUCGAUUACUACCCGACGUCUCUUUGACCCUACUGGAAAAAUCUGGCAUACAUGGUUACCAAAAUAUGGUCCAUCGUCCGCAACAGAUCCGAUGUAUCGCUGAACUACUCGAAAUUUCUGUCAAUGACCUUCUGCUCCUGAUACAGUCGCAUGCGCUCCCCUGGCUAGUGCUCUACAAGCAGUCAGAAACCAUCCAGAAGAUUGCUGAGGCUCGCCAAGAAAGGAACUCUGGUGUCCAUUGAUGGAUGGCCCCAACCUCGCUACUACAUUAGCCCUACUACUGGUGCAAGACGUGAACAACAUGGCGAGCUUCACCAAGUCUUGUCUCGACGAAAUUUCUCCUCAUUUCCAUGCAUUUACAUUAUUGGAUCUUUUCCAAACAGAACCGGCGUUGAUCGCCUUGGAGCUUUUGAAGGCAGCUGCCAAUGCUGACACUGCGCGCCAACAAGUGAUACACAAGGCUCUGCAUCUCGUAGCGGUGACCAUUCUCAGCGUCAACAAAGAUAAAAAACUGAAGAAGAGUGAAGUCAUCGGUCGCUUUCUCCAGUCCCAUAUCCUGGGCUUUAUGGCACGACUGACCGACGUGAUUAAUGACUCCGUGUCGACACACUCCUCAAUCUGGAACAACGGAGCUGCAUACUACACUUGAGGAAAUGAUCAAAGUUUGUAAGGGCUAUGCCAGAAUUGCAAGACCUCAGAUUUCAGCUUGCCUGCUCUCAGCCAUCUCUCAGGAGGCCUUACGUGAGACCAGCUUUUCAUGCUGGGCAGUCAUGCUUGCCAAUUUUGAGGACGAAGAUAUUGAGGCGCUCAUAGAAACGACAUUCUUCAUCAUCAGUCACUACUGGAAUGCGUUCAACAAGUCCACCGUACGGGCCGCGAAAGAAAUGCUCGACUCACUUUUGAAGAGGCACAAGGCAGCUGUCAGGACAUACAUCAACAGAUUACCAACAUUAUCACAUAUCACGGAAUUGUCUGAAAUUGAGUCGGCAUUGUUCGCGCUGCGCCCUGCUUUGACCAUGCAAGAAAUUCUGCAUAUUUUCACGCAAAGAAUAUCUCAUGACAAUUCGGUGUUGUGCAUCAAGCAUUGUGUGAGCUCGUGCCAUACCUCAGAGACAACCAAAACAUAUUAUGCAAUUCUGCCGUAAGCCAGAGGCCCGAUAGUGCCAUCACUGAAAUUCUGAGGUCUCUCUUGGAUUGCGCCUGCAAGUACAACGGUGUUCAGUUGGACAUAUCACGGCUCUGUGUCGAGUGUGUAGGGCUCAUUGGCUGCCUAGAUUCCAAUAGGAUUGAGACAGUGAGGGAGAAGCGCUCGAUUGUCUCCUGGAAAAACUUUGAAAGAAGUGGCGAAACGAUCGAUUUUGGCUUAUUUCUCCUGCAAGAAGUCCUUGUUCCAGCUUUUCUGUCUGUAACCGACACCAGACUUCAAGGGUUUCUCUCAUUGCGAUGCAAGAACUGCUGAUUCGUUGCGAUAUCAAGGCUGCUUGUGCCAUGAAAAACACUAGCAUGCUCGAGGGCAACGACAUUUACAGAAAUGGAUUGCAUUACGCAUUAUACACGGGAAGUUCUCACGCCAUUUCUCACCUCACGAUACAUGGUAGCACCCAUGGCACCAAUAACGUUGAAUACCCAAUAUUUCGUACGGGAAAGUCGUAUGCCAACUGGCUCAGGUCUUCGUUAUGGACCUUCUUCACAAUGGGCAGAACGAGUACGCUGAAAAAUUUCGAACCAUUCACUCGCGUCAUUAGCGUCAAGGAUCAGUCUACUGCGAAUUCCUAAUCCCAUAUCUUGUGCUUCACGUACUACUCGGGCCCGAGGCAGCCAAUCUUAUCGAGAAGGCAUUGUCGGGAGCUUGUAAUGGUUUUGGAACGCUCCUCGCCAGAGACUGCCCUCUACAUGGAAAAAGAAGAUAUGAAAAAGUUUUGUCACGCCGUUUUCGCGGGUCCUCGAUUAUGCAAUGAGAUGGAUCCAAGACAACGAGCUGCCGGCAGACCUACUGCUGCGACAACAGAAUUUGGAAAAAAUACAACAUAUUUUGGACGGAAUCUCUGCCCAGUUGGUUUCCCAGAGAGCCAUCGACUGCAACGAAUACGCUCGCGCGCUCUUUCACCUGGAACAACAGGCCUGGAAUAUGGAGCAGGACAAGAAAGGACAGGAGGACCGUGGCCAUCUUCUCGAGCGACUGCAGGAUAUUUACGCCAAAAUAGAUGAACCAGAGACUAGAGGCAUUUCAGCCCAUAUGCAAUCCCUCGACAUCAACCACCAAAUUUUGAGUUAUAAGAAGGCUGGUAGAUGGACAGCAGCUCAGACGUGGUGCGAAAUGCGGUUGACCGAAGAGCCAGGCAACGUAGACGUGCAGCAGGACCUUUUGAAUUGUUUAAAGCAGGCAGGACAGCAUGAUGCACUUUUAAAUUACGUGGAAGGAAUACGAACUGAGGGUUCAGAAAAGAAAAUCAUGCCGCUUGCUGUAGAAGCAACUUGGGUAACUGGCCGGUGGGAGAGUCUCGCGAAGUUUACAGAUCGAUUUGAUGCCGAUGUACUCAGGAUUUUAAUAUGUCGAUAGCGACGUUGUUCAGCGCUUUGCACCAGAAAUGCCCCUCGCAUGUCUUGUCGAGGAUUCUUCGCAGCAUGCGGGAAAAAAUUGCUUCGGGAAUGACAUCUUCGACUAACAUCACUGCAAGCUGCGCACGGUCUCCUGCUCAAGUGCCACAUUUUGACGGACUUGGAGAUGAUUUUUCAGUGAGUCCCAG
rnacentral:lncRNA from 1 species